ACCCCCACCCCACCCCCACCGAA
rnacentral:misc_RNA from 1 species